CCGAUUCUCCUCUUCAUCACUGACGUCGUCUCCCCUCUCGCGACGCCCUUUUCCUCUUGUCGAUUCAUUUCUUCUCCCCGAUUUCUACCCAAGUCGAAUCCCUUCCACCUCCGUCGACUCCUCCCUCUUCCUCAUCUUCUCUUUUCCCAAUCUCCUCCCCUAAGCCAUCUUCGCCUCUUCGCUCCACCACCAGGCGCCAUAGAUCGGGGCCAGUCGACGGCUAGCCGCCUGAGUGCCACUUGAUCUCCUCUCUCCUAGUUGCAGACGCAUUUGCUCAUCAGAAGCCAAGCAUCUGAUCCCACGUCAUUAGCCGAGCCCUAGAUGUCGAUCCCCAACCAACCCAGCGUGCUAGAUCUCUACUAGAAGUUGUUGAAUGCGUUGGAUCUCUGCUCGACAUUGCAUCUCCGAUCUUAGGGUUGAUCUUCUCGAGUCGACCUCUUCCUCCUCCACUCCACAUCGCUGCUCGAUUUCGCCGGAUCCCUACUUGGUGUCAUCAUACGAUCGCAUCAGGUUCCUAUUAGCCAUUGUCGAUUGAUUAUGCCAGUGCCACAUGGUCGCCGUUCUCUUCUCUGCCUUGGCUUGACACCACAGCAGCCACCGCCAAUCUCGUGGCACUGAUUUUGGUGUCACCACUGAAGCUCCUACGUCCUCCAUUCCACCGGUGACAUAGAUAUGGGGUGCUAGAUUUGGAGACUAUCGGAUAUUCUAGCUAUGGUCACAUUUUUUUUUCUAGCAGCAGGUGCUCCGUCGGUGAGUUAACAGGGAAGUACACGGAUAUAGGAUAUUGAUUCGAGACAAGUGUCUCGACGUGGAAUUGUUUAGCACGACCGACAGAUAAAGACAGGUACCUUUGACUUAUCUUUUUUGAUAUUGUCAUUCUGAUAUGCGUAAUAGGUUAUAGCUAGUAGUAAUGGUUAUGUUUAUAUUUGCUUGGUAUGUCACUACUUGAUAUCCGUAGUAUGCCCAUAUUGUUAUCUGUUAUGCAUUUAUGUUUUAUGCCUCUUGAUUCUUGUCAUGUGUAUUUAUAUUCAUAGAAAUAGUGACAUACAAUGUGUUACCGGGUAUAAGCCUAGCUACUAGAUAUACUUGGCAUGUGUACCUAGAUUUAUUAUCUGGCAUGUGUACCUAGUUUUAUUAUCUGGUAUGUGUACUUAGUUUUAUUAUCUAGCAUGUGUACCUAGUUUUAUUAUCCGGCAUGUAUACCUAGAUCGUUGUUAUGGACUCGAUUUUCCUUUUUGGUAUAUAUUAUAUGGAGGUUGAUAUUUUUAGGAGUUACAUGCUUUAGUGUCAUGCACCAUUUUGAAUGAUUGCAUGCUGAGCGAUUGUCGGCUCCUUUAUAGUUGAGCACAUUGCCAGUUACAUGAUCUUUACACACAAUCACUCAUGGGUUAGUGGUACAUCAGGUAGGGUGUGUGCAGUUUGUUCUGUCAAGGCUCCGCUGGUCCACUCAUGGGCAGUAUGACUGCAGCGUCGUAGCGGGCAGGGAUCCCUCCUCUUGACUAUGACACAGGGAGAUGAGAGCUUAGGCUCUCCCACUAUGUUUGGGGUAGGAGGAUAAAUGAACUCCGACAACAUACUGUCCACUCGGUCACUUAGGAGUAGUGAUGGUAGAGUGCACAGUUAUCAUAGCUCUACCCACUCGACCUCACCAUCCCGUGUCAGGCGGUUGACUAGCGUUAGGGGUGACUAUGUCAUUUGCAUCAUAUGCAUGGAUUGUAUUUAUUGCUUGUGAUUGCUGCAUUUUGGAUGCUGCAUUUUAGUGGUUGCAUAUGAUUGACAUGCAUACAGGAGACAUGAGGUAUUUGGUCGGACGAUCCUUGUAUCCGGAUAGGAGAUCCUGGUGAGUACAUCUUCUUCUGUUGUUCAGUUUUGCAUUUCUUAUUAUCAUUCAGAAGACUGUACUGCAUGAUUAUUGCUGAUAGUUAUGUCUUACUAUGCAUGUCUGAUCGAUACCCACUAAGUUCUUGAACUCACUCCAUUGAUUAUUUCCUAUUUCAGGUUGAAUUCGCCUAGAGAUCCUGUCCACCAGUCCAAUGUCACAUUGAGCGACUUCUUCCGUUCUUGCUUUCGUUCGCUUUAUUGGUUUUGGACUUAUUCAUGUAUAUGUAUCUUUGUAUGGAAUUUAGCUUUGUGUUUUCUUGUAUUUGGUUUGAUGUAAUAGUGUCAAGUCGGAUCAGCUCACAGUUAGUUGUUUUGUUCGCUUCAUGUUCGUUAUUUUGUGAUUUUCGCUAUGUAAUGUUUCAGCCAUGUGGUCUACUUAUAAACUGCGUGGCUGUGUUUAUAUCUAGCUGUGUGGGUUGAUGUUGCUUGUGAGUAGCCAUGUGGCAAUGUAUUUAUGCUUCAGAUUGUCACUGGUACAAGGGAGAUGCUAUCCGUUUACCGGGCAGGGACUCCUCUGGGGUGUGACAUUCUUAGC